rnacentral:rRNA from 1 species
CCCUUAGAUGUUCUGGGCCGCACGCGCGCUACACUGAGCCCUUCAUCGAGUUUACAACCUUGGCCGGUAGGUCUGGGUAAUCUUCUCAAAGGGGCUCGUGCUGGGGAUAGAUUAUUGUAAUUUUUAAUCUUCAACGAGGAAUUCCUAGUAAACGCAAGUCAACAGCUUGCAUUGAUUACGUCCCUGCCCUUUGUACACACCGCCCGUCGCUACUACCGAUUGAAUGGCUUAGUGAGCCCGAGGGACUGUUACACCUAGAGGGUUUUCUCUCCAGGAGCAGCCGGGAACUCGGUCAAACUUGAUCAUUUAGAGGAAGUAAAAGUCGUAACA